rnacentral:lncRNA from 1 species
CAGAGACCCUGAAGAAGCAAAGGAGGAGGAGGAAGCUGCUGCUGCCCCUGAAUUCGCUGCUAUCACUGAUUACCAAGCACCUGAACAGUGGGGUGGCGACCAGUGGACCUCUGAUGUGGCUCAGCCUGUUGCUGUUGGUGGCACUGGUGCUGAGUGGGGUGCUGCUGCAGGUAUGUACUGAUAAAAUUUUAUCAUCUUUGGUAUGGAACUCAUGCAGAAAUCUAGCUGUGUUGAAAUGGAAACUAUAUAACCCACACCUUGCUCUAUGCCCUGAGUUGCUCUUAUAAGUUUGUUGUGGUAACACGAAGUGAUCACAUUUUUCUUUGCAGCUCCGGUUCCUACUGGCGAUGGCUGGGAUCCAGCUGGUGCUCCCCCUCCACCUGUGGAAGGUGCCGUACCUCCGGCUGUUGCUCCUACUGGAUGGGACCCAGCAGCCCAACCCCCCGCUCAAGGCUGGGAGUAGGCAUAGGCCCUCGCUUCGUGAUGUGUCUUCUGCGGCUUAAAAUCAGUGUUUUCUGAAGUAUGAAUGUCCAAAAUCAGACGCAUCUUCUAUAGCUAUGCAUUGAACACUUCUGUUUUAGGGCGUUCUAGCUGAACUUCUUGUGCCCCUGUUCUGUUUUCAACAUUUCUGUGCCAUGAUGGAGAGAGCUUGGGAGAUUAUGUGGUAUAAGUAGCUUUUGUUUCUGUUGCUUAUAUUGCAUGGAUCUGUGCGAUGUGAUGGUUCUAUAUAAUAUAUUCAGUCUGUUAUGAAAAUCUGGAUGCCAUGGAUUUUGUGCGGUAUGAUUCUCCCAGUUACUUUGAAAUUUGAUACAAUUGGACUGAAUGUCUUGUUGUCAUGCGUGGCCUCGUAAUCUGAAUGAUGCGUCUGUGCCUUGAAUUGCAUGUUUCGAAAAAUUGGCGUUCCCACGAUCUAUAGUGUCACUAAUUCUACGAACCACUUCGUUCCGUCGUUCAGGAUUAAUAGCUACGCUUCUUACCAGGUCUCGGAUGUUGGUGCGCAUACCUACAUCAGAUGUUCAAUUUGCAAGUGAUUCAGUUUUGAGUAGGUACUCACAUUCACAGGGAAACGGUGCUACAAGGCACUACUCUCUUGCUAUUGCAGCAUCUGGCAUCAAUUACGUUCUGCAGCUAAAUGGGCUCCAACAAGCUGCAAACGGGAGUGUCUACUGGGCAUCCGAGUGUUUCUCGGGUACCUAGCACUCAAAUUUUUUUUUCAGCCAUGCGAUUUGCAUCCAACGGCACUGGAGUCAUCUUCUUCCUCUCAUGUCCGCUCGUUAUUCCUUUCUAUGAGUGUGCGACGUUUCGCUCCAAUAAUCUACGGAGGAUUUGGGAGCGUGGGCGGCACCGGGUCGGGGAAUAGGCCGUGGGUCGCGGGGAUCGAUGGUGAUGGGGCUAGCGGAGGUCGCCGGCGGCACCUCGGGUUCAUCGGCUGCUCCGGCGUUGGCCUGGAAGAUUUUCGAAUUGUCCCGUGGUUUGGAUCGUGAUUAUUAAAGGAUCCUUUUGUAAAUUUUGACUUAAAUAAAUUUCAUAAGAACCUCUUGUUCAAAAUUGGGGGUCCUUUCAUAAAUUCGACUCAAAUAAAUUUCAAAAAACCCUUGGUUUGGAUAGCGAUUAUUAAUCGCGAUCCAAAUUGGCGAUCCUUUUGUAAAUUAUUGACGAUAUCUCCAAUAAUCUGCUCUGCUCCGGCAGCUUGACGCGCGAUUCACCGCGCGCAUCCGAGCCGAGCGAUAACCUGCGGUUGAGCUCUGGCGGUCGGUCCCGGCGGCGGCGUCUCCUCCCGGAACUGGACGCAGCGUGCCGGUCCUGGUAUAGCCCGUCCUGGUGAGCUUCUCCCUGGACCAGAUCUCCACGGCCCCGUUCCUGGAUCCUAGAUAGAUGAGGUCCGCGCUGGCCACCAGCGACCGCGCCUCCAUCGACGGCGGCAUCGACCCGACCAGCUUGUAGUUUGCGACAGUUACACACCUGCGUGCCGCCGCAGCCGUCAGAAACCUGAAGAUUGAGUUGAUGCAAGUGUUCACUGUUCAGUUCGUUUCAGUAGCUUUACCUUAACGACGUGCCGUCCAUGGAAGGAGUGCUUCCGGCCGGUGCAGAGCAAUCCUCUUGCUGCCGGACUGGAUUACACCCAGCGUGCCACUCGCCAGAUCGAUUUCCUGUCAUCGUCGAUCACAUUCAGUCAAUGCCAUCCAUCAUCCGUGCCUCUAGUAGCUUCCACUUGAAAUGGAUGCGCUGCUUCUGAAGAUUUCAGCAGCUAGCAGAUAACUGAAUGCUGCUGUCGCUGCAGCCGCAGAAAAGCUUGCCGUGCCGCGCACCAGCGCCAUGGACCUCACGUACUUGUUGGGUAUCAGCUACAGUACAUAAUUACAGGUUCUAGGGUAAUACAGAAAAAAAACAAGCAUAGAAGUCACUAAUUGCCCUAGCCUUUAGCUCUCUGUAGCAUGUUGCAAGGCAUGAUCUAUUUAGAUCAGACUCGACGAUCGACCUCAUGCCAGAAGCGGCAUUAGACUCAAGAAUCACCCGUUCCAUUCCCAGGGAAGCAGCAUGCUCCAUUCCUUUCAAACAGGCAAGAGCUUCAGCAUGCUGAGUAAUCAGCAACCAUUAUACCUGACCAGAAUGGUCUCCAAUAACAAAACCCAACCUACUUUGCCAGUUUCCAUUUAGCUUUAUUCAUCAGGUGCGAAAACAACAGAAGGUAUUGACGGCGAAAGAAAAUUACCUCGGAAUAUAAAAAAAUUACUGUCAUCUACAUGUGUCCGUGAUUGAGCCGCUGCCCAUGAAUUUCUGCUAAAUAGAACAUGAGGCGGCGUCUGCCUGCAUCUGUUUUGUCCUUGCGAGGCGGGUCACGGAUUCGCCGUUCGCGCGCCCCGUCUCGGUUGAAUUUCAACUUAAAAAGUUGAUAGAUGCACAAGCACAGUCGGGUUUCAAAUGUAUGUCCACAAAAUCUGCAGCGUGUCUAAAAGAAGAAAUCUUACAAUGGGAGAACCUGCAACGCACGGACACUGGCAGUGACAAGCACCGUACGUGCGAAAAGCGAUGGGCGUGCACGACGCCGCAGCUCAUGAGCUCUCUGACGCGUAACAACGCGCCAUAGCAUCAGAUGGAUGCGUACCAGAACAAUACAAACGGAAACAGACAAACAGAGGCCUCCGAAAUUGAACUGAUAUAAGCAGCAAAUAUUUCUAUUUCUGUAACAUACUAUUUACAACAAUAGUGCUCUUUUUUCACCUUUUUUCUUCCUUUUUUUUAAAAAAUACUUUUUUAUAUUUUUUUCAUAAUUUCUAUGGAGAAAGGGAAAAUGUAAGCUAAGCUAAAAGAAUCAGAUAUACUUUGGCCUAUUUAUUGUCUAAGCUAUGGUCAAAUUCUUCACCACAGCAAAUUGAAUCCUGUACCCAACCCAGCCGCCGACAUCUCCUCUGAUUACUUCCAGUGAUCACAACCACGAUGGUGCGAGGCUUCUCCCAUGGCCGUCAUCUCUUCAGUCCCAUCUCUUAUGCAGGCAGAUGCGCCUAGCCAUCAGCCAUUUGAUCUGCUCUAGCCGUCAGCCAUUUCCUGCUGCUCAAAAUUCCUACAGAGUUGUCACCGAGACAAAAAGUUCGCCACCUAGUAGCAAAGCAUGCCUCCAUUAGCGACCCAGUGCGCGAAGCGGUCAGAAUAGUCCCUAGUGUCUGAGAGCUGGCUGCUCGAACGAGACAGAUCCGUGUCAUCCCUUCCCUGCAAAAUUGAAAAAAGUUCAUGCCAUGAAAUUCGGAUAUAAGGGAAAGCAGUGCAACAGUAAGCCCAGUUGCUUAUAAUUCUCAUUGCCACGUUCAGAUAGAUAGAUUAAGGAAAGGUUUAAUAACAAGGCUAACCUCAUCGAGGUGUCCUUGUUCGCUAUAGGACGUAGAUGAUUCUACACUGAUCUCAUCCAUAGGCGAAUUGAUCAGCGACGACCUGCAAAUCACGAUUUGAAAAAUUGAAACACCCUAACAAUGCAAAGAGAGUGGUAGGAUAUGAAAACUAGUGGCAGCAAAUGUUACCUCUCAAAAACUUCCUCAUCACAGGAAUUCCCCGAAGAUGACAACAAAUCAAGAUCAAGAAAAUUUGAGGAAUGCAACUCAGGGUAACCUAAUCUUUUCAGAUAACUCUGCCGCUCUUCUGACAUGGAGUGCCUUGCAGGCACUGUGCCAUAGUUCAUACUGAAUAUAUAGAAAACACGGUUAAUAUUAAAUUCAUGGAACGAACAAGUUUUCCAGUAGCCUCCAAUUUCGUGUAAGGAUAGACGCACCUGGAGCAUGGGUUAGGUUCACAUAUGGAGAUAUCUGGUGCAGAAUCAGAAGGCUCUCUAAUAUCAUCCAGCGGUUGCAUAGGAAGCAACGCAGUGUUGUUUUCUCCACUAUUGCAGUUAGAUACAGGUAGGCUGUUCUCCAACAAAAUAUUACCAUCUGAUAGCGACCUCUUUAUGAAUGAUCUGAUGUAGCGAGAUGAGGAUUACUAAAUUAGAAGAGUCUGACGAACCAAUACAAGAAUAGUACAAUUGACAGAACUACCGGCCAGUCUAGACUGCUGAAAUAUCUAGUUUUUGUUGUCCUAAGUUCUUGUUGCCCCAAAUUUUGCAAUUUCAAACAAUGCCCAUUGCUCUCCUAUUAUUCUAUUAAUACAUCAGUUGUAUAGUCAUUUGUAAGCUUUGUUGCUCUAAGCCUAUGAAUUUGCACUUUGAAAUAAGGUGUAUAUCGACAACCCUGCUACAUUUUCAUGAGACAAUCUGCUAUUUUCACAGCUAGAGAAAAGAAUUUGCAGUAAGUGGUAAACCAUCAUAUUAAAAUGUCAAACGUAUAAAUAAAAAGCUGAGUAUAAAUAUAUCCAUUUGAAAAAGUAUUGGAAGCUUAUAAUCUGCACCUUGCAAUCUCUUCUUUUAAAGUUCCUUGCCUCCCAAUGUUGUAAUGCUGAUCGGAGUCCAACUUCCAUAAUGCAGGUUUCCCUUGUUGAGGUUGGAAAUGACCUAAGAACCUGCAUGUUUUAGGAUAGAUAAACCAGUUUGUGGUAAGCGCAAAUAUAACACAUAAAUGUCAGUGCUUUCCAUUGGUUCCAUCAUUUCUAAAUAAUAUUGUUUUGCAAUACAUUGAGAAGCUUACACGUUUAUAGCAUCCUGCUUGUCAUGAUCAGUGUAGGCGUUAUUGUAGUAGCGUUGAAGGGUUCGAAGGAACUCCUGAGAUUGGGUUGCUGCCUUCCAUUGGCCUCUUUGCUCACAGAAGAUCUGCGGCACAUAUGAGUAACAUGGAAAUUUAGACUGAUGUACUACCUCUGGACCUUAAUAGAUGACGUUCAGACCAAUAUUUUUUUACUUGCUGCUACCUCAUUCCUCUGGCCAGGAACGUCAAAUAUUCCGGACCGGAGGGAGUAAGUCAAGCAAGCAAUUUGGAACAGUUAGGAAUCUUUUUACAACAAGUUGACUAUUAUCUCGGAUACAGCAGAAUCACUUUGGAAGAAAGUAUUCACGUCGUUCAGAGCAUUUUACGCAUCUUUCAAAGUGUUCAGAUGCCAUAGAUUUAAGGUGUUUACAGUUAGAAAAGAAAUAAGCACAGCAUUAUGAGUUGUACUCUUCGGUAGUGAAAUAUUUCCGGAGUAAGCUAAUAUAAUAUGAGAUACCUUGUUGUGAGCUGCAGAACCACCAUAUUGAAUAGCUAAUGUAUCACCCAUUCGUUCAUAGAAAUCCAUCAGAUCGUCAGCCAGAGGAGCAUGCAAUUCAAUUUUAGGUGCUUCAGUAAGCCCCAGCGCAUGAAGUUGACGCCUUAAAGCAGCUAAACCGUAUGCAAAUUGUGCAACAUUUGUGCGGUCCAAGCAGUCUAUACAAUUUGUCCUGAGGACACCCUUCUGUAACAAAAUAGGUACCAACUUAGCUACGCAUUCGCUUUGCACGCUGCUACUUUUGUCAUCAUGUGGUUUGGUAACAGUUCUUUCGCCACUGUAAUAAAUGGAUAAAAGGUAUUAGGACUUACAAAUAGACAAAAGACAUGUGAUUUCUAAUAUAUUAAUUCGACAUAAAGACUUGGAAAAACAUGUUGUAAAAAUCAAAUUUUGGUGAAGGUGUAUAUUCUUUAAGAAAUUUAGGGAACUGUAACAUCCUAUGAUUUGUCAGCUACAUGUUAUGGUUUCCUAAGAAAAAGUUCUCUUAGUAAACUUUAGACCAGAAGCUACCUUGUGGCAUCCUCAGAUUUGGCUGAUGUACUUAUUUUGCAGUGGAGGAAUUCAGUUAGAUCCAACACAUCCGAUGCCACCUUGUUUAACAGUGCAAGCACAUUGGUACCUUUCCUGGAAGCAGCAUUUAGUACUUCGCAUUAAGGUACUUACAAGAUAAUCCACUAACAUAUCAAGGGAGAUCUUACAAAAGAUUCGCUUGGAAUACAAUAAAUUACCUUCGAGAAAGCUUACUCAAAUCCAUGUGUAAAAAUUUUAGACGCUUGUCCUCUGUUAGCCCCUUAUUAAUGUAAUGGAUAGCCUUAGCAAAUUCUGCACGGAGCAAAGAUUCACGAGGCUUCUUCUCGCGGGUCUGAUAAAAGACAAUUAAUGGAUCCAAAGGGAAUAUUCAGAUUUAUAACAAAGAGCAAAAGGCUGUCAAGUUGGCGAAUAAACUCUUAGAUGUAGAAGUGAGUGACAAUAUAAGCUGAAGACAAGAAACAUCAUUCAUGUCAAAGUAUGAACAACAUUGAUGUUGCGCUUGCCUUUAUUAAGUUCAAGAUGAUUAUUGGAUUCCCAUAUCUAAGUGCAAGGUUCUCAAAAUGAAGACGAGUCGCCUUGUAGUCCACAUCGGCUUUUACUGCAACAGCAAGGCAGUUGGAAUAUCAGGUGAGACAGUCCAAGAUACAAACUCAUAACGAAUUUAGUGGAAGAACUUACAAAUAAUAUCUGGUCUAAUAUUAAGUCUUGAAGUUUCCUGAAACCAGACAAGAGGUAUUGAUCCUCUAUGUUGUACAACAGAAGCCAUGUGACUUGGGAUUCCAUCAGAUGUGUCUUCAAAAACAAUCUGUUCAGUCUCAACAUCAUUGGCGACCCUGCCCUUUUCAUUCACACCCCGUUUCAAGAAUCUAAAAUUCAAAAUGAACAAAGAAGUAUGCAGAAAGUGGUUAACAAACUACUGUUGAGAUGAAAGGAAUGUGGAAUUGGCUACUUAUAAAUGUAAUUUUUAUCUAAAUUAAACUAUAAAUCUAAAGGCUUAGAAGUUGUAACAAAAACCUCGUUCCAGCAAAAUGGCGCGAGCGCCUAGCUAUAAGUGUCAACCAAAAAUCCUUCCCGGAUACUGAGAGCUUCGACUGCCAAACCAAAACAAGUGUAUUAGCAUGUCUUCCUACAGCACAUGGUUUGUAAUGCCAAUUUUACGAUAUGCUUUUGUGGUCCUUGAACUAGGAUCAAGAGACAGUGCCCAACACUUACUUGCUAAGGAAUGUUAAAACAGAAAAAAUAUAGCAAUGAAUUUCAUAACUAAGCAUUAGGGGAAAACAAUUAAACUGUCCAGACUAUAUGAUGUUACUCUGUAUCAGCAACAUACAAAAGAUAAAUUAGAAGAACUGAACAAAAACAAUAACAGUCUGCUGAGACUUACGAGCAAAUGUUCGACUCAGGAAAGCCUCAAGCAGCUCAAACUGAAAAAUGUCAGCAGGUUAUACAAAGCCAUGCCUUUGCAAACCCUUUAUUCAAGCUUUCACUAUAUAUCAGGUCAUGAGACGUGGAGUGAAACGCCUAAGUUAGUUGGGUGGCAUUGAGUUAGCAGCAGCCCUACUUGUGGUCUUCGAUGAUGAAUAGACAGUACUGGUGAUUCGGAUAAGCUCAUUAAUCAGAAUUUUAAAGGAGGGAUCAAUUAACACACUAACAAAAGAACUUUAAACUUAGUUGUCCCAAAAAGAACAUACCUGUUUAAAAAAUCCAUGGACUAAGGCAACAGUCCAACUGGUAUUCUUGAGAUGAUUCCGAAUUGCUCGCGUCAGAAAUUCAUUCCAUACAAACAUUGUUUCAUAAACAACCUGUCCAGUAUUCUUCUCAGUUAUGUUCUUCUGAAGGCUGCGCAUGAUGUUGUAAGAGUAGCUGAAGAAGAAAUCCUUUGAAAGAUCAACCGAGCAAAGUAGGCGCUUAUAUCUACAGAAAAUGAGAGACGAGAACAUAAAUCACUUCAGAAAAUUUGAAACUUGUAGUGUAUAUCUGAAAAUGAAUAUUACAAGUAGAAUGCUACUGGAGCAAGAAAAUUUGAAACUUUUCUAUAUACCUCCAACCACAUGAACACCUUACACAAGGCUCAGAACUGCAAGAAUUCCCAUUAUGUAUACUGGCUAUAUGAGUUGGAUGGAUAUUGUUUCUCAACAGGAAAAUUUAUACACAUAAGAGAGAUGUGAACAAAUAUUACUCUAUCGCUGUACAAUCAAACAACAUCAUGCAGAUUUCCCCAUGCUCUACUGGAACAUAAAUAAGGGAUCCCCAUAAAUAAUGAAGAGAGCUUAGUAUGUCAUCAUGCAAUUCAAUGCAAAACAGUACAACAAGGGGGAAAGAUGCAUCGACACCAAAAUUGUGUCUCAACACAACAUAGCAACCAAACGAGCUCAAAAUUCAAAUACGUGGAAAAAAGGGUAAACAAUGAGAUAAAUUAAUAAGAAAGCUAGAAAAUGUACGCUAGAAUGCAAGCUGGCAUUUUUGUUAAGAACCAAUAAUGGAAUUACAACAGGCAGUACACAAUAUUUACAUGUUGAAAAAAUAAAAGACCUGUUCUCAUCCCUAGAAUAAGCCACGUUGGGCCAGACUAUAACACUUGGAAUUGUGAUCAUUUCACUCUUGCCAAUGGAAUAGAUUUCAUGGCCGCAUAUUGUGCCAACUUUCCUUCUCCUGGUUAUUACAACCAUGUAAUAAGGACCAAGAAACUUUACAAAACCUGAAUAAGCAAAGAAUUAAAUGUUAUAAUUUGAAGAGACAAGCUAGAGAGUUGCAACUGAUAUGUUCAGGGAGUGCCAGUUUAUGUUGCAUUACCAACUAUUCCAUAGCAUUUUGUGACAAAUUUCAGUCCACCAGUCAACCUAUUCCCCUCAUGAAUCCGCCAAAGCAGUUCUUGGCAUUCACUCUCCGUGUAAAUAGUUGGAUCCUCCUCGACACCCAGCUCAGUACACUCCAUCCGAUCAAUCUUUAAGACCCUCCAGUGAGCCCUGCUCUUGUCUCUUCCAAUAAGGUAAAAUUUCUACACCAAAAAGGCGCACACAUAUUAACAACAACAGUUGGACAUUAGAUAAAAUGCUUGUGAGUUUCAACAUCAAAACUAUCUCCAGUAAAUCAAUGGAACAGUAUGCUAAGGACAAAUAUUGAACAACACCUAUUGCCUAAUGUACCAGUAUCUAAAUCUUCAUCUCUAAAUCGAGCUGGUUAUCCUUGAAACUUGAGAAAAGAAACUUGUGCAUACACAAUCAGUAGCUGAAAGCUUAUAUUAUAAGCAGAAGGCUGUUACGCAUCAGGAGCCACUGUACACAAUAGUAAAAUUGAAACAUCAUUCCAGCAAACGAUUUAACUUGCCUGAAACAACUGUAUAGAAAUAACAAAAAAAAAAGGAACAGCCUUUUUGUUUUCAUCCCCUUGCCUCUUUGCAAAAGAAACAAAAGGAUAUUCGUCUACUUUUUGCAGCCUUUUACCCUUUCCAGUAACCUAAUUGAACCGAACCUAUCAUAAAGUACACCCAUCACGCGGUUCAAGCAUUAAAUCGCACAAGAACUUAAUCAACCAUUUUACCCAAAAAAAACACAAACCCAUUGUAACAAAGUCAAGCACAGCGUGUUUACUAAUAUAUAGAGAUCUCAAGUUUGGAGAACCUGCAAUUGAAACCAAAUCAAGCGAGUACUGAGGAAACAGGAUUUGCAGGAGAU